UAGGGAAUAUUGGACAAUGGGUGAGAGCCUGAUCCAGCCAUGCCGCGUGCAGGAAGAAGGCGUUAUGCGUUGUAAACUGCUUUUUGCCAGGGGAUAAAAAGACCGUGCGCGGUUAAUUGAAGGUACCUGGUGAAUAAGCCACGGCUAACUACGUGCCAGCAGCCGCGGUAAUACGUAGGUGGCAAGCGUUGUCCGGAUUUAUUGGGUUUAAAGGGUGCGUAGGUGGCCCUGUAAGUCAGUGGUGAAAUAUCUCAGCUUAACUGAGAGGGUGCCAUUGAUACUGCAGGGCUUGAGUACAGAUGAGGUAGGCGGAAUUGACGGUGUAGCGGUGAAAUGCAUAGAUAUCGUCAAGAACACCGAUAGCGAAGGCAGCUUACCAAGCUGUAACUGACACUGAGGCACGAAAGUGUGGGGAUCAAACAGGAUUAGAUACCCCCGUCCCUGAGCGGGCUGGCAAGGCGCAU
rnacentral:rRNA from 1 species